rnacentral:rRNA from 1 species
UUUAUGGAGAGUUUGAUCCUGGCUCAGGAUGAACGCUGGCGGCGUGCCUAAUACAUGCAAGUCGAGCGAACGGACGAGAAGCUUGCUUCUCUGAUGUUAGCGGCGGACGGGUGAGUAACACGUGGAUAACCUACCUAUAAGACUGGGAUAACUUCGGGAAACCGGAGCUAAUACCGGAUAAUAUUUUGAACCGCAUGGUUCAAAAGUGAAAGACGGUCUUGCUGUCACUUAUAGAUGGAUCCGCGCUGCAUUAGCUAGUUGGUAAGGUAACGGCUUACCAAGGCAACGAUGCAUAGCCGACCUGAGAGGGUGAUCGGCCACACUGGAACUGAGACACGGUCCAGACUCCUACGGGAGGCAGCAGUAGGGAAUCUUCCGCAAUGGGCGAAAGCCUGACGGAGCAACGCCGCGUGAGUGAUGAAGGUCUUCG